rnacentral:rRNA from 1 species
AGGCUUUGAUCCCGGCUCAGAACGAACGCUGGCGGCAGGCUUAACACAUGCAAGUCGAGCGAGGACUUCGGUCCUAGCGGCGGACGGGUGAGUAACGCGUGGGAACGUGCCCUUUGGUUCGGAAUAGCCCCGGGAAACUGGGAUUAAUGCCGGAUAUUCUCUUCCGUAGUGGAUAUGGGGGAGGAAAGAUUUAUCGCCAAGGGAUCGGCCCGCGUUGGAUUAGGUAGUUGGUGGGGUAAUGGCCUACCAAGCCGACGAUCCAUAGCUGGUUUGAGAGGAUGAUCAGCCACACUGGGACUGAGACACGGCCCAGACUCCUACGGGAGGCAGCAAUAAAAAAUCUUGGACAAUGGGGGCAACCCUGAUCCAGCCGUGCCGCGUGAGUGAAGAAGGCCCUAGGGUUGUAAAGCUCUUUCAACAGGGAAGAUAAUGACGGUACCCGCAGAAGAAGCCCCGGCUAACUCCGUGCCAGCAGCCACGGUAAUACGGAGGGGGCUAGCGUUGUUCGGAAUUACUGGGCGUAAAGCGCACGUAGGCGGAUCGGAAAGUUAUGGGUGAAAUCCCGGGGCUCACCCCGGAACUGCCUCAAAACUAUCGGUCUGAGUCGAGAGAGGUAGUGAAUCCGGUGAGAGAUAAAUCGACAUAUCAGACACAGUGCGAAGCGCUCCUGCCGGACUACCUAGCCAAGCUGGACCACGAA